rnacentral:lncRNA from 1 species
CGAAUCUGCUCGAGGACGGGGUGGACCACUGGUGCUCUCGAAGCCUCAUCAGGGGUGAUCCCAUACUGUAUCUUGGAAUCCUCUGAUCCAUAUCGGCGGUCACCGAUUGUUGAACGAUGGAGAAGAAGCUAAAGAUUAGAGGAGGAAGGAGAGAUUAGAGCUUCUUUUUCUUUUCUUUCUUCGAAUUGAUGCAGAGAUUAGGGUUCUUGGCAGAGCGAAAGAAAGCGGGAGAGAAGGAGGGAGAGAGGAGCAAAC